UUCACUGAGGGUGCAUUUGUUCUUCGUACCUUUGAACUUGCCGCUCUCCAGCAGAGCUCCAGACUCCUCCAGAGAGAAAAACUCCUCGAUUGACACAAAGUUGUAGUCCACACCUGAGAUCUCUCCGUCCCGAGGCUGCCGGGUCGUACCUGCCGGGAGGACGCCAUGAUGUCAUCACACAGGGGACGGCGCGCAGGUACAGGUUCUCUCUGAUCAGCUGCUGGAGUUGACUGUCCAUGGAGCCUGGAGUGAAACACUUGCUGAGGAUGAUGUCGCCCACCGUGGCCCCGCCCCCCGGUGCCGCUGUGACAAAUGGGAACUCGCCGUAGUCGGCCCCGCCCCCAACGGCCAGACCCAGCUCUCCUGAGCCCCCGCCGAGCGGGACGAAGCUCUCCUGCACCUGAUGACGACACAGAGGAAGCACUCGGGUUGAUUCAUGAUGACCAGCUCAAAGAAUUUCAUCCAUUGCAGGUAAAACGUGCGUUGCUACCUUGGAGCGCCAGUGCAGCUUCUUCACUGUCGCUUUAGACAUGGCGGCCAAGCUGCAGACAGAAGGAGACAAUCAAAAGACACCAAGUUUACUCAUCAACAUGCCACGUUUACCUGCCGAUCUCACAAUGUUAACAGCCGACUGAUCGUGAAUUUAAUGGUUUCUACUGGAAUCUUUGUAACAAUGACGUCAACACCGGAUCACACCUGUAAACACAUCAUCACACCUGUAAACAUCUUUCUAACAAUACACCCUUUUUACAUAACUAGGUCCUUAUGAUCUACCUCUUUCACACCCUUGCUACCUAACUAGAACGCUCUCUUCUGAACUUCAAAAAAGAUUUUUUUUCUUUUUUUAAAUUCAGAUUCAAAAACAAUCAUGAUAUAUAAGCCUUUAAAAAAAAUACUGUCGGGCCUCAGUCUCCUAAAAAAUGUUUAAUCAGCAGAGAACUUGUUCCUGUUCGCUCAGAGUUUGGGAUCAGUCCCUCCAUCAACUCAUCGACUCGCUGCCUCACAGAGAACAGCAGAUGGUGUCAGACGGCAGGGAGCCACACACACACACACACUUGCACGCACAAACACACAAACAUGCAGACCAGCUUACGACACCAUUUCAUUUAUAUAUAAUCGUACCCACAGGGAAAUAAAUACACACACACACACACACACACACACACACACAGUCUGCUAGACGUGGUUCAUUAAAUAUGGAUGAACAUAUGUGAAGGUGGGAGUCAGAAGAAAUAUACAACAACGUCCCCAAGCAGCGAUUUGAACAAUCUGAAAUCACAAAUUUAACUGACUUAGGAAGCUUCCUAGGAAGGAGGUGAGGAAUGAGGUGGGAGGGUGAAGAAGGUAGUGAGGAGGUAAAGCAGGCGGCGAGGCGUUAAGAAGGAGGCAAGGAGGUAAAGAAAGAGGUGAGGAGAUAAAGAAGGUGGUGAAGAGGUAAAGAAGUUUGAGAGGAAAUAAGGAGCUUAAGAAGUGUCCAAGUUAUCUAUUUGGAUGAAAUUUGUUGCGUUUCUCCGUCGCAGACAGGAAGUGAUGCAGACAUACUCGUCACUAGUAACACAUCAGUAACACAGGCUCACUCGCUCGUCCCUCUCUGUCACUUCCUGUCCGUCACUUCUGUCGUUCACACGUCAAAAUAAAAGACUUUACAACA